GAUAAACGCUAGCGGCAGGCUUAACACAUGCAAGUCGAGGGGCAGCAUAGAUUGUAGCAAUACAAUUGGUGGCGACCGGCGCACGGGUGCGUAACGCGUAUGCAACCUACCCGUCACCGGGGGAUAAUCCGGAGAAAUCUGGUCUAAUACCCCAUAACAUAUGGAUCGGCAUCGGUUCAUGUUGAAAUUUUCGGAGGUGACGGAUGGGCAUGCGUAGCAUUAGCUUGUUGGUGAGGUAACGGCUCACCAAGGCGACGAUGCUUAGGGGGACUGAGAGGUUUUCCCCCCACACUGGUACUGAGACACGGACCGGACUCCUACGGGAGGCAGCAGUGAGGAAUACUGGUCAAUGGGCGCAAGCCUGAGCCAGCCAUGCCGCGUGCAGGAUGACGGCUCUAUGAGUUGUAAACUGCUUUUGUACGAGGGUAAAGUGGGUUACGUGUAACCUUUUGAAAGUAUCGUACGAAUAAGGAUCGGCUAACUCCGUGCCAGCAGCAGCCGCCG
rnacentral:rRNA from 1 species